AUUGCUUCUUGGCCUUUUGGCUAAGAUCAAGUGUAGUAUCUGUAAUAUCUGAUAUGUCCUCUAUCGAAGGACAAUAUAUUAAAUGGAUUUUUGAAGCAGUGAAAUGAAAUAGGAACUGAUUUAAGGAUGCUGAUCCACAUUAUGCUGCAUGUGGGGGGAGGAUUAAAUGAA
ensembl:snRNA U2 U2 spliceosomal RNA